AGAUCUGUAGCUCAGUUGGUAGAGCGCCUGCCUUACAAGCAGGAUGUCAUCGGUUCGAAUCCGGUCAGGUCUA
rnacentral:tRNA from 1 species